UACGUAGGGGGCAAGCGUUGUCCGGAUUUAUUGGGCGUAAAGAGCGUGUAGGCGGCCAGAUAAGUCCGCUGUGAAAUCUCGAGGCUCAACUUCGAGCUGUCGGUGGAAACUAUCUGGCUAGAGUCCGGAAGAGGAGAAUGGAAUUCCUGGUGUAGCGGUGAAAUGCGCAGAUAUCAGGAAGAACACCCGUGGCUAAGGCGGCUCUCUAGUACGGUACUGACGCUGAGACGCGAAAGCGUGGGGAGCGAACAGG
rnacentral:rRNA from 1 species